UACAGAGGUCUCAAGCGUUGUUCGGAUUCAUUGGGCGUAAAGCGCGCGUAGGUGGCCUCAUAAGUCCGCUGUGAAAGUCAAAGGCUCAACCUUUGAAAGCCGGUGGAUACUGUGAGGCUAGAGUACGGAAGAGGCGAGUGGAAUUCCUGGUGUAGCGGUGGAAUGCGCAGAUAUCAGGAGGAACACCAAUAGCGAAGGCAGCUCGCUGGGACGUUACUGACACUGAGGCGCGAAAGCGUGGGGAGCGAACAGG
rnacentral:rRNA from 1 species